rnacentral:misc_RNA from 1 species
AAGACUAUAGACCUGCGGAGUACCUGCGGAAGGAUCAUUACAGAGUUGCAAAACUCCCAAACCAUUGUGAACGUUACCUUCUCGUUGCUUCGGCGGGCGGCCCGGGUCCUUCCCGGCGCCCCCCGGCCCCUCGCGGGCGCCCGCCGGAGGUAAACCAAACUCUUGAAUUGUAUGGCCUCUCUGAGUCUUCUGUACUGAAUAAGUCAAAACUUUCAACAAUGGAUCUCUAGAUCGGAAGAG